UCCUACGGGAGGCAGCAGUGGGGAAUAUUGCACAAUGGGGGAAACCCUGAUGCAGCCAUGCCGCGUGUGUGAAGAAGGCCUUCGGGUUGUAAAGCACUUUCAGUAGGGAGGAAGGUAGUGUAGUUAACACCUGCAUUAUUUGACGUUACCUACAGAAGAAGCACCGGCUAACUCCGUGCCAGCAGCCGCGGUAAUACGGAGGGUGCGAGCGUUAAUCGGAAUUACUGGGCGUAAAGCGCAUGCAGGCGGCCUAUUAAGUCAGAUGUGAAAGCCCGGGGCUUAACCUCGGAAUUGCAUUUGAAACUGGCAGGCUAGAGUCUUGUAGAGGGGGGUAGAAUUUCAGGUGUAGCGGUGAAAUGCGUAGAGAUCUGAAGGAAUACCAGUGGCGAAGGCGGCCCCCUGGACAAAGACUGACGCUCAGAUGCGAAAGCGUGGGGAGCAAACAGGAUUAGAUACCCUGGUAGUCCACGCCGUAAACGAUGUCUACUUGGAGGUUGUGGCCUUGAGCCGUGGCUUUCGGAGCUAACGCGUUAAGUAGACCGCCUGGGGAGUACGGUCGCAAGAUUAAAACUCAAAUGAAUUGACGGA
rnacentral:rRNA from 1 species